rnacentral:piRNA from 1 species
UUUUCCAUCCAAAAUUCGAAAGCGAGAAAAUGAAACAGAAAAUAAGACACAGAAGUAACUGAAUUCUGUAUUCCAUCAAAUAUGAGUAGUCACUUCUAUAUAACAUUAAUGUUACACUCAUAGACCAAACUUAAGGAAGUUUUACCAUGUAUAUCAGGAUUCAGACAAUAACUCUGAAAGAUAUCACAGUGACCUUUAUUGAAGACACACGAGAUAACCAAGUGUGAACAAAAUUACCUUUGUCACCUUCAAAAAAAAAAUAUAUAUAUAUAGACGACCGACGAUAUCAAAGACUUUAGUUUUGUCCAUGAGUGUAUUUCAGCGAUUUUUAUAGAGGCAAGCUCUUUAUAAUUAAAGUUUCACAAAGUCAUAAAUUGAGUACAAAUGAAAGUUUUACACGCCAACAAUGGAGUAAUUUUGGCAAUAUUCAUUGAUAGGAAAUUACGGUCGUACAUUACCUUUAGUUCAUUGUUCACGUAGCUGAUUAGCUGUUCAUUUGUGAUAAUCUAGUAAAACUCUAUUUAAUUUAAGUUGAGUUUUAGUUUAGGUUUAUUAAACUAUUUUUUAAAUAAACGUAAAGUCUCUAAACGUAUUUUUUAUCAACUAAAUAUCACUAAAAAAUGGCAACAAUCUUAAAACUUUAUGGAAAAGAGUAAAAAAAGUAUUUAUAUAAAGAAAAUUUAGUAAAAUUUAACUUACCUUGUAAUAGGUUGAUACUUGGAGAAAAGCGAGUUCUUAGGAAUUUCUAUUAAAAUCUGUUUAUAACGAGAUAUUAUAAAAGAUGAGGUUUGUUAGAAAAGUUUUUUUGAAAAAUUCCAAUAGCGUUUCAGAGCUAAAGAACUAUACCGAGGAGAUGUUUGAGAAAGAGUUCUCAGAUGAUGGAAUGCUGUAUAGGACUGUGUAGAAGAGUAGAUACAACGAGGGGAGACGUGACUGCACUACGCCGUGACUGGGACAACUAAGUGACGCUGUACAGUUGACGCGGUGUCGCAAUAACGACGGCCUUGUCCCGCCUGCUCCAUAUUAGGCCGUCGUGGGCAGUAUGUAGGAGUCAGCUGACGCGCUUAUGCAAAUUUACGCCCAUUUUGAUAUAGGUUAGAUUGAAACAUGUAUGACAUAUAUAUAUAUAUAAGAGCAAUUUAAUUGUAUAUAAAAAACUUCAGUAAAAAAUAAAAAUGGUCAUCUCUCUCUCUCUCUCCUGUCAAAAUAAACGCUGAAACUAAGCGCUAUCUAUUGACCAUCUUUACAAACUAACGGACUCGGGUCGGUGACAAAGCGACAGCUUUGGAAAACUGAGAAACGUCCACCUGAAGAUUAUGGUUUUCGGGCUAAUGGCUCUCGUCAGUCUAGGUUGGGCUUUAUUCCAUGAAAUCCACAAGGGAUCAAAUGCAAUAUUCAGAAUUUGCCAAAGAGGUGUUUAGCUGGUAAAGUGGCUAUACAAAUAUAUAUGGAAAUUUUGCCUAAAAGGAAACUGUUCAAUUAUAUAAUUAUGGCAAAACAGUUUCCUUAAUUACUUUAUCUCCAGGAAUUUCUCUCAAGUGACAUGAAAUAUAAGCUCAACAGCUCCCAAUACAUUUAUAGAGCAAUAUGAUCAAAUUAAACUGGCGAAACCGCUGGAAGGGUUCACCACUGAUGAGUCAGGCAAUGCAUACAGGUAUUUACGGUACCUAUCUGUCUAGAUUGAAUUAAAAAAAAAAAAAGGAUCCUACACAGGUUUAGCUAUAUAUAUAUUUAAAAAAAAAAAAACGGCAAUGAAUAAUAAUAAAAGUAUUUGACCUUUGACCAUUAUUUGAAGGACAAUGGACAAUGAGCAGGUGGCAUCGCACACGGCUUUUGUUUCUCGGGCAUGCGCAGAUGGUCGCGUACACCUGGGUAUAUUUCUUUCUCUCUCCUCAUCUUUAACUCUUUUCAUACUUCGGCCACCUCUCCCUUUAAAAUACAAGGACGAUCGUCACAGUUUAGUUAGCUUAGGUUAGGUUGAAGUGAGGAGGCAUCCUAGCGCGGUAUAAUACAAUUGCCGAUAGUCCGCUGUAAUGAGUCUCUCACCAAAACGUAUACCGGCCCAUGUUGGAAUAGAGGGCAAUAAACAGGCUGAUGGCCUAACUAAGGAAUAACGAAAACAGGCACUGGAAACCAGUUUAAUAACAUUGAAAGACGCAAAUACAAAAGCAAAACUCAUUACAAAAAAACUAAAUACCCCAGUCCAUAUGCAACCUCAACAUUAACAACAGAGAAUUAACAACAACAAUUUCAAGAAUCAGAACAGGACAUUUGAAAGGAAUGAAGAUAAACCAGACAUGACUAGAUCCUACAGGAACUGUCACAACACCCAACUCACUCUGGACCAUAUAUACCCGGCCAUCCUUGCAGCCCUCUAUAUGGCAGACAUCAAUCCAGAAGAGGACAUCCAUACGGACAAGACACCUCAGUUGGCCGGUAUUGUGAUCAGGGUGCAUGGACCGAUCUAUCUGCUCCAUGGACAAGACACCUCAGUUGGCCGGUAUUGUGAUCAGGGUGCAUGGACCGAUCUAUCUGCUCCAUCGACAAGACACCUCAGUUGGCCGGUAUUGUAAUCAGGGUGCACGGACCGAUCUGAUCUGAUCCAUGGACAAGACACCUCAGUUGGCCGGUAUUGUGAUCAGGGUGCAUGGACCGAUCUGAACUGUUCCACGGACAAGACACCACCACCUCAGUUGGCCGGUAUUGUGAUCAGGGUGCAUGGACCGAUCUGAUCUGCUCCAUGGACAAGACACCUCAGUUGGCCGGUAUUGUGAUCAGGGUGCACGGACCGAUCUGAUCUGAUCCAUGGACAAGACACCACCAUGGCUUCAAGAAGCAGAUAAACAUUACUAUAAGGCUAUAGAAGAAGCAGUAACACAAGUCGAGUAGUUUAUUUAUAACUUCCCCCCGACUUUUGUUUCUUCUUCAAUAGCGAGAAUAGGGAGUUGUCUUAAUUCCAUAUUUACAUAUCGACGCUGAUAGCAAAGAANNNNNNNNNNNNNNNNNNNNNNNNNNNNNNNNNNNNNNNNNNNNNNNNNNNNNNNNNNNNNNNNNNNNNNNNNNNNNNNNNNNNNNNNNNNNNNNNNNNNAGUCUGAUAUUAUCCAAAAAAGUCGGUGGCAAAGUUCAGUCCACAUACCCGAGCUAGAUAGGAGGAGGCUCACAUCCCUCCACUAAAUAUAAGAAAACGUGGCUCCAACUUAGCGCACAAGGCAAGCAGCAGCCUCAAGUCGGCGUAAAUCUGCCACCCAAGGCCACCCACGUAUGGAAAUGGGCACGCUCACUUCCUGGCCACGCCUACGGUGGCCCACGCGAGUAUUGGCCCCUUGUCCGGCCUUUUUUACUCUCUUUUAUUUCUUCUUCUCUACCGUAAUAUAACUUAAUCACGACAACAUAGACCUAUUGUCUCGAAUAUAUUCCAGUUUUCCUAUAUAUUAAUGUUGUCUACUGGGAUUGAUCAGUUGUGCCAUACCAUUCACAAGAGUCUGUCAUUCAUACAGAUAUACUGUAAUAUAUAAGAUUUAAGGGAAAAAAAUAUUGUGAAAAGUAUUGAAAUUGCAACGAAUUUUUCACAAUGAUUAUAUAUACACUCAUGGACAAGACUUAGGGAAGUUGUACCUUUUAGCAUGUAUAUCAGGAUUCAGAUAAUAAUUCUGAAAGAUAUUAGAGUGACCUUUAUUGAAGACACACGAGAUAACCAAAUGUGAACAAAAUUGCCUCUGUCUUCUUAAAAAAAAAAAAAACCAGAUGACCGGCGAUAUUAAAGACUUUCCACUUCCUUAAGUUUUGUCCAUAUAUGAGUGUAAUACAUAUUUACAUAUAUAUUAUAAUCUAUAUUAUAAACCCUAUAUGUGAGAGCCCAGAGAAGGAGUCUCCAGGCAGAAGAAAGAAGAAGAAGAAAGAAGAAAGAGAGGAUGAAGAAUGUAAAGAUUUGGAGUCAUCUUACCAGACAGCAUUAGAGUGUAAACUACUCCUUUAAUACUGUCAGGUAAAGAUGUGCCCAAAUCCUAUUGACUACACAGCCGGGGAAGUAUAUAAGGUAAGUACACAAUUUCUGAAUAACUCCCUCUCUCUCUGUUCGCUUCCUGCGAUCUGAAGGUCUGGCUGGCUCUUCGGCCUCCAUCCUGAGAUAAUCACAAGUGUGGAGACCAUCUGCACGUACCAUCUACACGUGCCAAAACCAUGCUAUACAGGUUAGCUUUUUGUGUGAAUUUACCAAAACUGGUUUUGUAACUCAUUCUUUAUCAUUACUGGUGAAAUUUUUAACUAGGGAGAUGCAUAGUGCCAUUUUUUCUGAUGCAUAAUUAAAGGGAGAGGUGCCUUUUUGGUACAUAUAUGUUAUGAAUAAUUUUGUUGUUGUUGUUAGAUAAAGGCUUGAUAAGACAAAGGAUCGAUAAGAUAAAGGGUUGAGGUGCAAUCGUGAUAAAAAAAAUAUAAUUAUUUACCGUCAAGUAGCUUUUAUUUUCAAUUACUUGAGGAAAUAUUACACAUUAGUUAUUUUCACAUUAUAUAGAAUUUAUAAAGUUAAUCAUAUAUUAGUGAUUUAAAAGGAUAGAUAUGUUAACUACGCAUAUUUACAACAAACUAUACAACAAAAACUGAAAGUCUUUCUAAAAAACGAUGAUAACAAAAGUAAAAUUAUCAAUGAAUAAAAUAAAAUAUGUAUUUUUUAAAAUAUAGAAAUAUUUGAGUUUUAGAUUAUAUAAUAUAAUAUAUAUAUAUAUGCAGUGAUACACCUACCAUCUUUGUCUUUAGCUGGGGAAUACCAGCCAUCACAUCGACCUGCCCACUCUGUUGGAACAACUCUCGCAGUCCAUCGGUGGCGGAGUCUUUCCUGCAGUGGACGCCACCAAUGAAGACUGUAUGUAUGUUAUAACAACAAAAUAGAAAUGAAUGAGAUUUUCUGUUGUAUUUUGAUUGUUGAGGAUUAUGGUAAUGGUGAUGCAGUCGUGGUUGAAAUAAUAAUCUUGAAAAUAUAAAAUCUUGAUCAGAGAUUUCUUUAUUUGAGCUAAGGGAUAUAUAUAAAAGACAUAAUUUUAUAAGAGUAAUGCCUGGCUUGAGGCGAGUAGAAUAAGGAAAAAAAAAAGAUUAUUACAUAAUGUACAAAAGUUUUGAGUCGGCCAUUGGGAUAAAACAACAACGAGUUUUAUAGGGGAAGAGUGAUCUCUGGCGGUCGAUUUUACAAUAUUUGAAUCUAUGAUAUAUAUAUAUUUUAAAUAAAAUAAUAUUUUUAUAUAACAUUUCAAAUAAAAUAUUUUAAUAUAACAUGUAUAUAUAAAUAUUCAUUACCGUGAGAGGUACCUAGCCCUUUAUUUAUGCACAGAACGAUACAUUAUGUUCAUCUAUACAAGUUAAAAAAUGUACUAGUGGUAAUGAAGAAUAAGCCAUAAAACCAGUUUUGGAAAAUUCAGACAAAAACCAACCUGUAUACCUUGGUUUUGUGAGUUGUGGUUCUCAUCAGUACAGGGGGGACUGGAUUUUCCGAAACUAGUGUUGGGGCUAAUUCUUCAUUACCAACAGUAAAGUUGUUUUACUAGAGUCAUAAAUAUAAUGUAUCGUGUUCUGAUAUACACCCAUACCUCGCUUUGCGUCGGGGUUAGGUUCCAAAAAAAAAAAAAAACACGACGCAAAUUGAAACGACGCAAAGUGAAAAUAAAAUUUUGAUGGCAUGACGCAAUCAAAAACAAAGGUGUUGCCAUAUUUUAGGGGAAAAAAAAAAAUUAAAGACUCGAAUCCAAAACAACGUAACUUCGAAAAUCUAACGACGCACAGUGAAAAUCAGUAAAAAUUAAGCAGCGACGCAACUUCGAAAAAAAAAAAAAACGCAAAACGAAACGACGCAAAGCGAGGUAUUGGUGUAGAUAUAUAAAGGGACUCUCAUGGUAAUGAAUCCUCCCACAACUUUAAGUUAUAUAGAUUGUAACACUAGCCGAAUGACCCGGGCAACGCCCGUGUUUUACCCGAUUGAAUGUUUUUAUUCAAAUACUAUUUGUUACAAUUAUAAAUUGGCGCCUUAAAUAAAUGCAUAUAUUAGUUAAUAACUAUAGCCUAUGUUCUUUAUCUGUCUAUGUACUGUUGGCUUCCGUAGGCGUCUCUUACUGGGAAAAAGAAAGGGAGGAUUCCAUUUAGUUAUUAACUAAUAUAUGCAUUUAUUUAAGGAGCGACCCGCUCCAACACAAUAGUUACAAAAACGAAAAGCGAGUGGGGGGGGCAAAGGUGGCGUGAUCGUAGCCAACCAAUAGGAGGGCGCCAUUCCAAAAAAAAAAAAAAGCAAACGGUGACAGACAUGAAAAAUGAAUGACGGAUUAAGAACGCAUGACGCUCGUAACUAUAUAUAGAAUUUAUUAUUUUACACUAGUAUUAACAGAGUAUCAUUUUUUAUAUUUUACUACUCUGUAAACUUCCCUCAUUCCUUAUCUUUUGUUUAUCCUUCAUAGUUUGUUCUUACUUUUUGAAAUUUAUAUGUUAAAUUUGUAAUUAUUCCUAUUUUUUAAUUCAUAGAAGCAUUUUUCUGGCAGACAUAUUCAAUUUUUUUUAUCAUCAUCAUUUUUUUAUUAUUGUUUUUUCCCCUCUUUGUUAGUUAUCAAAUCAUUUACAUUUGUAGUUUCUUUUUGUUGUGUUCCUUUUUAAGCAAACAAAAUAUAUAUAGAACUAAGGUGUAAUAUUCAAUUCAAACAUAUGGAACCAACAUCGAUUCAUUUUUAAAACAAAGCAAAAUCAUAAGCUUAUACAACUUUCACUUUUGCAUACACUUACCUUAAAUAAAUUGCUGUGUCAUCCUGAAGUUUGUCUUCCCUAAUUUUUCCACGUGGCAAUAUGAAUAUAUUUAUCAAUUAUCUUAUAUACCAUGGUAUAUAUCUACUAGCCGAAUGACCCGGGCAACGCCCGUGUUUUACCCGAUUGAAUGUUUUGAUUCAAAUACUAUUUGUUACAAUUAUAAAUUGGCGCCUUAAUUAAUUGCAUAUGUUAGUUAAUAACUAUAGCUUAUGUGCUUUAUCUGUCUAUGUACUGUUGGCUUCCGUAGGCGUCUCUUACUGGGAAAAAGAAAGAGAGGAUUCCAUUUGGUUAUUAUCUAAUAUAUGCAUUUAUUUAGGGAGCGACCCGCUCCAACACAAUAGUUAAAUGGCGAAUGGGGGGGGGGGGGGGGGGGGGGGCAAAGGUGGCGUGACCGUAGCCAACCAAUAGGAGGGCGCCAUUCAAAAAAAAAAAAGCAAACGGUGACAGAGUUGAUUGAUUAGGAGAUGAGGAAUGACGCUCGUAACUGUAUAUAUCUAUAUUUAUCAUCCACACAACACAUAUGUGAAAAAAAUCAUAUAAUAUUGUUUAUAGUUGGAAGUUUUUAGGAGGAAGGGGAUUUGUUUUAUAGAAAUAAAGGUCGCCUUUUCCUUCAACACGCUUGUUCGGCGCUACAUAUACUAAAAAUGGAACGAUACAGAGAAGAUUAGCAUGGCCCCUGCGCAAGGAUGACACGCAAAAUCGUGAAGCGUUCCUCUACCUUCAAAAUAGACCCUAAAACCGCUUCUCGGUUUACCAAAAGGCGGUGUUGUGGCUUUGUAACCAACCUGAGUUCGCUAGUAUGUAGAGACAAUCAAUAGAUGGUGCCUAGUUCUAACGUCUAUUUUGACGGGAGAGGCAGCCUUUUAAUAAAAUCUUGUUUAUAUCUUGAAUUUAACGUUAUAUAACCUUAUAGACAAUAUAAAUGAUAACUACAGCUAACUAUGUAUUCCUUAGUUAUUUUAUAGUGGCCUAUAUUUAUUUGUUUGUUUGUCCUCUUAUUAGAGAUAUAUAUUUCUAAAAUAUUUUGUCUCCAUUUGUAUAAUAGUUAAUAUAAAUAUUUUUAUAUCUAUAAUUGAGAGAGUUAAAUAAAUUUAAAAUAUUUGCAGAGUUUCUUUAUUAAGGUAUCGGGAGGCAAGCUUUCGCGCUUCAUCAGGCCACUGGCUCCGCAAAGGCGUGCAACAGAUACAAUAGAGAUUCACAGAAAUACCUUUAAAAAAAUCAAAAAUAAAAAUAGUUUCCAGUUGUAGAAGGUACAGUUUCAAUGGGG